rnacentral:rRNA from 1 species
AACGAACGCUGGCGGCAGGCCUAACACAUGCAAGUCGAACGCUCCAGCAAUGGAGAGUGGCAGACGGGUGAGUAACGCGUGGGAACCUACCCUUUGGUUCGGAAUAGCCCAGGGAAACUUGGGGUAAUACCGGAUAAGCCCUUCGGGGGAAAGAUUUAUCGCCAAUGGAUGGGCCCGCGUCGGAUUAGCUAGUUGGUGGGGUAACGGCCUACCAAGGCGACGAUCCGUAGCUGGUCUGAGAGGAUGAUCAGCCACACUGGGACUGAGACACGGCCCAGACUCCUACGGGAGGCAGCAGUGGGGAAUAUUGGACAAUGGGCGCAAGCCUGAUCCAGCCAUGCCGCGUGAGUGACGAAGGUCUUCGGAUUGUAAAGCUCUUUUGGCGGGGACGAUAAUGACGGUACCCGCAGAAUAAGCCCCGGCUAACUUCGUGCCAGCCGCCGCAGUAACAC